UACGUAGGGUCCGAGCGUUGUCCGGAAUUAUUGGGCGUAAAGGGCUCGUAGGCGGUUUGUCACGUCGGGAGUGAAAACUCAGGGCUCAACCCUGAGCGUGCUUCCGAUACGGGGCAGACUAGAGGUAUGCAGGGGGAGAACGGAAUUCCUGGUGUAGCGGUGGAAUGCGCAGAUAUCAGGAGGAACACCGGUGGCGAAGGCGGAUCUCUGGGCCUUACCUGACGCUCAGGCGCGAAAGCUAGGGGAGCGAACUGG
rnacentral:rRNA from 1 species